ACGAGAUUCUCAACUGUCCCUAUCUACUAUCUAGCGAAACCACAGCCAAGGGAACGGGCUUGGAAAAAUCAGCGGGGAAAGAAGACCCUGUUGAGCUUGACUCCAGUCUGGCAUUGUUCGGAGACAUGCCGAGGUGUAGCAUAAGUGGGAGAAGUGGAUAACGCGGCGCUCGUCGAGAGGCGGACGUCGUGCCUCGUCGAACUUGAAAUACCACUACUCGCAUCGUUUCCUUACUUACUCGGUGAUGCGGAGCGCGUGCUGUCUGGUCAGUGGUUCGGCCGCUUCGCACGGCGGCGGCGGUCUGACAAGUGCUUGCGGCGUUUUUGCGGCCGUCGUUGGGCGGUCGUGCGGGCGUUUGGGGUGCUCGUGGCUGCUUGUUUGCCGGCGUCGUUGUCGGACCCAUCGCGACCGUCAGUCACGAUCGAUUCCCGGUCGACUUAAGCGCGAUCAUCGCCGCCGGUCGUUGCGCCCGGUCUACGGCGGUCGGUGUGCGCGCGCGGUACGGUCGCUUCGGCGGUUGUCCGCGCGCACGCUGCCGGCCGUCGCCCGGUCGCAGCCUGGCGACGUCGCGUGAUCCGAUCCGAGGACACCGCCAGGUGGGGAGUUUGACUGGGGCGGUACAUCUGUCAAAGAAUAACGCAGGUGUCCUAAGGCCAGCUCAGCGAGGACGGAAACCUCGCGUAGAGCAAAAGGGCAAAAGCUGGCUUGAUCCCGGACGCUCAGUACGCGUAGGGACUGCGAAAGCAUCGGCCUCUCGAUCCUCUCGUCCGCUGAAGGGUUUUCAGCGAGAGGUGUCAGAAAAGUUACCACAGGGGUAACUGGCUUGUGGCGGCCAAGCGUUCAUA
rnacentral:rRNA from 1 species